rnacentral:rRNA from 1 species
UACGUAGGGGGCAAGCGUUGUCCGGAUUUAUUGGGCGUAAAGCGCUCGCAGGUGGUUCGCUGCGUCGUGCGUGAAAGCCCCCGGCCCAACUGGGGAGGGUCACGCGAUACUGAUCGACUCGAAGGCAGGAGAGGGAAGUGGAAUUCCCGGUGUAGUGGUGAAAUGCGUAGAUAUCGGGAGGAACACCAGUGGCGAAGGCGACUUCCUGGCCUGUUCUUGACGCUGAGGCGCGAAAGCUAGGGGAGCAAACGGG